CUGCCAUUUGACUUCUUUGCAAGUGUACGCAUCAGAGAACGAAAAAGAAAGAGAGAGAGAGAGAGAGAGAGAGAGAGAGAGAAAGAGAGAGAACUUAUGAUUUCGCGUCGAUCUCUUUUUUAUCUUAACGAUGGUAUAUAUCGAUAAAUAGUGUAUCUCGAUUCGUAGACAGUGGGUGGUUUAAUGGCAAGAAAGAGAAGGGUUGAGAAUGUUUGUUUAUCUACGUUGACACAAACAUUUGUCGAGGAAACUUUAAACGUUUGGUGGGCGUAGUCGGCGUCGACAAAGCGUUAAAACUUGACUCCGUCCUGUGUAAUUAAUAUCGAUACCAAAGCGAUGAGUCGUAAGAUGGUUUGGAAUUCGGUUAUACGAC